rnacentral:lncRNA from 1 species
UCAAUUGAAAGCUUCUACAUUAGAUGAUUAAUACAUAUACUUCUUUCCUCUGCCCAGAUGGUAGGAAACAUAAUCAUUCUAAUUUAAUUGAAUGGAAACUAAUACAGGGACUAAUACAAUGGUACAAAUGUCCAAAAGAGAAAAAAACAAGAAGAGAGCUGAAGAUAGCUUAACUAUAACAUGCCCAGGUACCCAAGAAGUACUGAGGUGACGAAACUUCAUAUAUCAACUUCACUUCAUUAGCAUUGCGGCAACAAAUCCCAUAAAUAUUGCCCAUGAAAUCAUAAUGACGA